rnacentral:rRNA from 1 species
UACGUAGGGUGCGAGCGUUGUCCGGAAUUACUGGGCGUAAAGAGCUCGUAGGUGGUUUGUCGCGUUGUCCGUGAAAACUCACAACUCAAUUGUGGGCGUGCGGGCGAUACGGGCAGACUGGAGUACUGCAGGGGAGACUGGAAUUCCUGGUGUAGCGGUGGAAUGCGCAGAUAUCAGGAAGAACACCGGUGGCGAAGGCGGCUCUCUGGGCCUUACCUGACGCUGAGGAGCGAAAGCGUGGGUAGCGAACAGGA